UACAGAGGUCUCAAGCGUUGUUCGGAUUCAUUGGGCGUAAAGGGUGCGUAGGUGGCGCCGUAAGUCGGGUUUGAAAUUUCGGAGCUUAACUCCGAAACUGCAUUCGAUACUGCGGUGCUUGAGGACUGGAGAGGAGACUGGAAUUCAUGGUGUAGCAGUGAAAUGCGUAGAUAUCGAGAGGAACACCAAUGGCGAAGGCAGCUAUCUGGAUCGUAACUGACACUCAUGAGCGAAAGUGCGGGGAGCAAACAGG
rnacentral:rRNA from 1 species